rnacentral:rRNA from 1 species
UACGGAGGGUGCAAGCGUUAUCCGGAUUCACUGGGUUUAAAGGGUGCGUAGGUGGGUCUGUAAGUCAGUGGUGAAAUCCCCGAGCUUAACUUGGGAACUGCCGUUGAUACUAUAGAUCUUGAAUAUCGUGGAGGUAAGCGGAAUAUGUCAUGUAGCGGUGAAAUGCUUAGAUAUGACAUAUAACACCAAUUGCGAAGGCAGCUUACUACACGAUCAUUGACACUGAGGCACGAAAGCGUGUGGAGCAAACAGG